AGAUGCUGUCAUUUGAGGAUACUUUGGCCCCCAAGAGGGAGAAGCAGAUGGCGGUACGGUUGAUGGAAGAUCCUGCAUCCGGAAUGGAUGGUAAGAUUUACCUCUUCAGCUGGUGGCGGAAAGACGUGCAAGACCCUGAGACAAGUCAGCUUCACAGGACGGGAAGGGAAAGUUGCAUCAGAAAA